rnacentral:rRNA from 1 species
AUACGUAGGGUGCAAGCGUUAAUCGGAAUUACUGGGCGUAAAGCGUGCGCAGGCGGUUUUGUAAGACAGUGGUGAAAUCCCCGGGCUCAACCUGGGAACUGCCAUUGUGACUGCAAGGCUGGAGUGCGGCAGAGGGGGAUGGAAUUCCGCGUGUAGGAGUGAAAGGCGUAGAUAUGCGGAGGAACACCGAUGGCGAAGGCAAUCCCCUGGGCCUGCACUGACGCUCAUGCACGAAAGCGUGGGGAGCAAACAGGAUUAGAUACCCGGGUAGUCCACGCCCUAAACGAUGUCAACUGGUUGUUGGGGAUUUAUUUUCUCAGUAACGAAGCUAACGCGUGAAGUUGACCGCCUGGGGAGUACGGCCGCAAGGUUAAAACUCAAAUGAAUUGACGGGG